AUGCUUGAUCUCAAUGAGUUGCCUCCAGAUCUCAAUGAGCUUCCUCAUGAUAUGGAUCAGCAGCAACCCAGCAUACAACAAGGAAACUGGACAGAAAAUGGUCGAUCUGUUUACUACACGCAGGCAAGUCGUGAUGGUAACCCUACGGGCCAUGACAAUGUGGCAGGCCAGUCAUCAGCCCGUGGUGCCCCUGUAGUGGUGUCUUUGCAGUCAGAGAGCCAUACUCUUGAUGACACAGGAACCGAGGCAAAUGUUCCUGGUCCAGCCAGGACUGAGCUAGGAGCUCGGGCUGUUGACGGAGCUGUGCAAGUAGAAGAAGGAGAGGAUGAGGCUGGUUCUCAACCUAUGGAACCCUAUGUUGGCAUGAGGUUUGACAGCCUUUAA
rnacentral:rRNA from 1 species